AUACGGAGGGUGCAAGCGUUAUUCGGAAUCACUGGGCGUAAAGGGUGCGUAGGCGGUUUGAUAAGUCUGAUGUGUAAUCCUAUGGCUCAACCAUAGAACUGCAUUGGAAACUGUCAGACUAGAAUACUGAAGGGGCAGAUGGAAUUAGUGGUGUAGGGGUAAAAUCCGUAGAUAUCACUAGGAAUACCGAAAGCGAAAGCGAUCUGCUGGGAAGUUAUUGACGCUGAGGCACGAAAGCGUGGGGAGCAAACGGGAUUAGAAACCCCAGUAGUCC
rnacentral:rRNA from 1 species